CCAAAGGCUCUUUUCAGAGCCAUUAACCCUUAUCUUGCCAGUGAUC
rnacentral:ncRNA from 1 species